rnacentral:lncRNA from 1 species
AUGCUUGACAGCCAGAGAUGGGGAGGGGAGUGGAGAGCCAGGACAGGGGGGUGGGGUCGGGGGGUGCCAAUGAAGCUUUUUUCCCCUUCCCGGCCUCCUGGGCACAAACCGCGGUUUAAAAAUAACCUGAGACUGGAUGUCUGGACCCUGCCAGGACCGGCUCGGGCCGGCUCCCACCCCUCUACCCCCCCCCCCCCCCCCCGCCCCCCAGCUGCACGCACACGGUUCUCGCUGUCCCCCUUCACCCUCCUCGUCCAUCAUCCCCCCCUUCCUCGGCCCUCAGAGCUGCCCACCCGGGGGGAGGCGGGGGCGGGACGGUCCCGAUCCCCAAAUGAGUCUUUUCAACCAGCUUCUUCUCUCGUUUCCCCACCCCGGGACCCUUCCCCUCCAACAUCUCCUGCCCCUCUCCCCUUCAUCCCCCACCUCCCACCUCCCCGCCCUAGUCCUCUGCCCAUGUGCCCCACAGGCCUUGCCCCGCUCCACCCCCCCCCGAAGUGGCCCCAGAGGAGGUUUGGGGGGCUGCGGCUCCCCCUCGUUCCGCCCCAGCUCGCCCCCCUUCCUCCCCGCCCCUCCCCACCUGGCCCGCCCGCACGCUCUCCGUCCUCGGCUUUUCCUAGAACUGGGGGCCUCCUGGGGCCUUACAGAGGAGGCUUGUUCCUGCCUCUCCCCACCUUCCCUCGGCCCUCCCGCGGCCCACCCGCCCGUGGCCCACCCCCAGGGCCUCACGGGCUCCGUGGAUCCCCGCCCCCACCCCCCAGUAAUGCCCAGAGAGGGGAGCUGAGGGAAGGGGGAGGAGGGAGGAUGGGGCAGGAGCGGAGUCCUUGGGGUGUAAGGGCAGGGCUGGGGGGGCAAGAUGCCCGGGUCCCUCGGGGGAAGGAGGAAGGAGGGGAGACGGGACACCCGGGUCCUUUCAGAGCCUGGGGGCAAGGGGUCUGGGGGGUGGGGGUCAGUAGCAGAAGCUGGGGCGUUGGGACAGGAGGACUCAUCCGGCCCCAGAUGAUAACUCUCUCUCUUUCUCUCUUCCCCCCUCGCCCCAACUCCCCACCUUCAGCUUCCUCUCGGGGGCUCCCGCCCCUCCUCCCCGGCCCUGUCCCUGCUCCGAGAAGGCAGCCCCGCCCGGAAGACCCCCGACCCCUUCGGCGUGGCCGCCCAGCGCCUCGGCCUCUUUGUCAUCGGAGGGGCCGUAGACAGCGACGAUGA